CAUGUCUUCAGGAAAAUAUUGGCGUGGGUUUAGUUGGAGAACGAAUGUCUUCUUCUUCUUCAGAGAAAGCCAAUUUAUCUCGUAGCAUGUUGCAGUACAAUCUACUAGGGAAGAACCUUUUAGCACUAGAGCAAACUUUUGUCGCCUUGGAGUCUUUAAGAAUGGAAAGAGAUAUUAUGCUGCAAAUGAGGAAGUUGGGGGCUGCUGAGUUAUUCAACACCUGUCUAUCUAGGUCCCGAGCUUCGUCAACCGCUUCUUGCUUACCUGACACAGGAACACCUGAGUUGGUGGAUACUACAGAAGAACAGAAAACCUUUGUGCAUUCAACAAGGAAACUGAGAAAGAAAGCAAGACGGUCGAGUUUGAUGACUGGGAGUGAUGAUCUGGGUUCAAGAACCAUAUGGGAGGGUGUUGAUGUCCCUAGAGUGAGAAAACCAUCAAAAUAUAGAAAGAAAAGAGAGAGGAUAUCUAGAAACGAGGCUGAGAUGCCACAAGGAGUCAAGGUUCAGUGUGAAAUAUUCCUCUUAACUGUUUUUUUUUAUAAUCCUUUGUAGUUUAACAAGAAGUUCUUAUGACACUCUCAUGUGGCUAUUGAAGUUAGUGGCGGACAUGGAGAGGAUUAGAACGAAACUGGAAGAGGAAAGUGGUAAGGUAGCGAGUAUGAUUUGUUGGGCUGAAGCAGCAGGGAUGAACGAGAAACUUCUCAUGCGCAAUCUACAUUUCGGUUGGUACUGUCGAGAUGAACUGGUGAAAAGCACCCGGUCUUUGGUUCUUUUCCUCGCAAGAAACUAUCGUGGUCUCGGGAUCGCCCACGAAGAUUUGAUUCAGGUUCAUCUUCUCUCCUUUAGAACUGUAUGAGAGUCAAACCUUUGCACAUGAAACUUUGUGUUUACAGUUCCUUUGUUUCUAAUGUUCUUGAAUGUGGGUUUCAGGCAGGGUAUGUGGGAGUGUUGCAAGGAGCAGAGAGGUUUGAUCACACAAGGGGUUACAAGUUUUCGACGUAUGUGCAGUAUUGGAUAAGAAAAUCGAUGUCCACGAUGGUGUCACGGCAUGCAAGAGGCGUCCACAUUCCUGUUUGUGCAUUCUUGAUUAUUAAUUUUAUUUUUCAUUUCUAGAAAAGCCAAAGAACCUCACUUGUAUUCAUUCUGUGAUCGAUGUUGUUUAUUUUGGCAGGCGUCAAUAAUCCGAACAAUGAGUCAGAUACAAAAGGCUCGCAAGACCUUGAAAACGAGCCAGGGGAUAAAGUAUCCAGCUGAUGAGGAGAUUUCGAAACUAACAGGGUACUCGUUAAAGAAGAUUAGAGCAGCUAACCAAUGCCUGAAAGUGGUUGGUUCAAUCGACAAGAAAGUUGGGGAUUGCUUUACCACAAAGUUCCUGGUAUGUCCUUUUGAACCAACAUCCUCUCUCAUAAACUGUUAUAAAAAAUAUUUGGUUUUGUGUAGAUUUAAGCUAUUUUUGCAUGGUUUUGGUUUUGUGAGUCAAUGUUUGUUUGCUGUGUGUGUGUAUGCAGGAGUUUACACCAGACACGACGAUGGAGAGUCCAGAGGAGGCUGUGAUGAGGCAGAGCGCAAGGAGAGAGGUACAUAAUCUAAUAGAAGGGCUAGAGGCUAGAGAGAAGCAAGUGAUGGUUCUACGUUAUGGUCUUGAAGACUAUAGGCCCAAGUCCUUGGAAGAGAUUGGGAAGCUGCUUAGGGUUAGCAAAGAAGGGAUCCGGAAGAUAGAACGGAGAGCGAUGGCUAAAAUCAGAGACCAACCCAAAGCUGAUAACCUCAGAUAUUAUUUGAACCAGUGAGAAGGAUUAGAUUUUUGGAACCAAUGGCUUUGUGAUUUGUAAUAACAUUCUCAUCGAGUGUAAAGCUGUGUAUAUUUUAUAAUCAUAAAAGGUAGAGAUUUUACCCAAAGUGAAAAUAUAUCAAACAUUUACAAAUCUUGGAUUUUAUCCUGUAAAAGACAUUGAUUCCAAACUGAAUGUUACAUCUGAAUUGAAGGCAUAAAGCACUUGCACAAGCUUCAUGUCCUCCUCAUGGUCUAGAAAUGUGUAAAUGUGUAUAUCAGAAUACUAGUGAAACUAGGUUAAGAUCCGCGCCUUGCGCGGGAUAAACAUUAUAUAUAUAAAUUAUUUUAUAUAUUAUAUGUUUCUAACCUAUUAUGAAACAAUAAAUAUAUAUUGAAUAAUUAAAAAGUCAGUAACUAUUACCUAUAUAAUUAAGUUGGUGCGAACAUAUAAAUAAAUUUUAUUAAUCCCGUCUAUGUAGAGCUCAAAGAUCCAAAGGUCUGUUGUACUUCCCUGCAAAAACAUUUUUUUUUCCUUUCUUGUGAUUCUCAGUACUCGUUGCCAUGUCUUCAGGAAAAUAUUGGCGUGGGUUUAGUUGGAGAACGAAUGUCUUCUUCUUCUUCAGAGAAAGCCAAUUUAUCUCGUAGCAUGUUGCAGUACAAUCUACUAGGGAAGAACCUUUUAGCACUAGAGCAAACUUUUGUCGCCUUGGAGUCUUUAAGAAUGGAAAGAGAUAUUAUGCUGCAAAUGAGGAAGUUGGGGGCUGCUGAGUUAUUCAACACCUGUCUAUCUAGGUCCCGAGC
rnacentral:lncRNA from 1 species